GGGCGGGGCCGCGCGUCCUACGCAUGCCUGGUCCGCCCUCACCCGCACGCCCUCGCUGCGCAUGCGUGCUCCCGCCGGCCGCCUGGCCGAACCGGCCCUGGAGGAGGCUGUGGAACUUGGGGAGCUUGUGAGGUUCCUCCGGCAGUCAGGUCGUCACUCAUUAGAAUAGUGGGUGUACUCGGGCACCAUCCCGCCUGCCCGGGUGCUGGUGAUGUGGGGGAACCACAACCCCCGACUUGUUAGCGGUCGGACGUGCCCAGCGCCCCAGGUGCUGCAACAUCCAGGAGUGAAGUCGCGAACUAAGGAAUUUAAGAGAGUUUCCUUGGUCAUAAGGAGAAGCAGAACAGCUCCUGGAUUUCCAGGAGGCGGUCCCGAGUGGGUGGCCAAGAAGGCCCUUUGUCAGGGCUGAUGAAGGAGCUGUGCUUAACCAUGCCAAGAAGUCCAAGCUGGAAUCGGCCAUCUACCCAGCUCCAUCCUGAUCACCAUUCCAUCCUGCAGUGCUUGGACUAUGUCCUAAAAGAAAAGGGGGAAAGUACCUGUCACUGUGAUCUGUACCUUGAGGGAGCCACCAACACCAACUUCAACCGUAGCUUGGACCCAAUCGUCUCCAUUACUACCUUCCUGCAUUUUAGUGGUGCCUAAAUGCAUAUCUCCCAGAGUUUGAGGCCAACCUCAUCCUCUGCCUCCAAAUCUACUUCUUUUUAAGGACCUGCCAACCAAUUACAUAGUUAAGCAAUGCUUGGAUUGGGAGAUAACCGUCAGCUACUUUGACCUCUCAGGAAAGUACAUAUCUUGCUGCACAUUCUCUGCCCUGGAGCUGUGGCCCAAAGAACAGUUUUGGAAGAGCCUGAAUGUCCACCAGCAGAUGAACAGAUGAAGCAAAUGUGGCAUUAACGUACAGUGGAGCACUACUCUGCUAUAAAGAUAAAUUUCAGUCAUUUGUAGGAAAAGUGAUGCACCUUCAGACCAUAAUGUUAAAUAAGCUAGACACACAACCUUAACAAAUACAUGGUUUCUUUUGUAUGAGGAACUCAAAAUUAAAUAAACAGCAAAAUAAAAGAUA